ACGGGUGAGUAACGCGUGGGAACCUGCCUUUCGGUUCGGAAUAACUCCGGGAAACUGGAGCUAAUACCGGAUGUGGCCUGAGGGCCAAAGAUUUAUCGCCGAGAGAUGGGCCCGCGUCCGAUUAGGUAGUUGGUGGGGUAACGGCCUACCAAGCCGACGAUCGGUAGCUGGUCUGAGAGGAUGAUCAGCCACACUGGGACUGAGACACGGCCCAGACUCCUACGGGAGGCAGCAGUGGGGAAUAUUGGACAAUGGGGGCAACCCUGAUCCAGCAAUGCCGCGUGAGUGAUGAAGGCCUUAGGGUUGUAAAGCUCUUUCGCACGCGACGAUGAUGACGGUAGCGUGAGAAGAAGCCCCGGCUAACUUCGUGCCAGCAGCCGCGGUAAUACGAAGGGGGCUAGCGUUGUUCGGAAUUACUGGGCGUAAAGGGCGCGUAGGCGGUUUGAUCAGUCAGGCGUGAAAGCCCCGGGCUCAACCUGGGAACUGCGUUUGAUACUGUCGAGCUAGAGUUCCGGAGAGGAUGGUGGAAUUCCCAGU
rnacentral:rRNA from 1 species